rnacentral:lncRNA from 1 species
UAGUCAUGUUUUUGCCAUUUGUGGCUUGUUGUGUAUUAACGUUUGUAACCUGCUGUUGAAUGGUCAUGUGUGUGAAAGCUGGACGUUUGCUGGUGGUCCCACAUCUCCCCCUGUGGAGAGCAUGUGGUGCUGCAACUGAUGCACUGGGGAGAAAGUUCAGGUAAUUAAAUGUGGUGAGUCUGCUAGCUGCUAGCUGAGAUGCCAGCGGUGGACACUGUUUGCUGUAGGCACACGUGUCACCAGAGCAAGACUGAGUCUAAUGUCCUUGGAGUAACUACAGUAUGAACCCACAGGGAAUGGAUUGAGCUGGUUAUUAUCCUGGCGGAGACAGGCCUCUGAUUAACUUUCAUUGGUACACAAGAGGUACGCUGGUCACCUAAUACUUUAUCAUGAGGGCAUGAUUUCUUUUAUGGAGAAAAUCAAAAUGUUUCAUUAGGCUUGAAUUAGCUGUGCCCUUGACUCCAGUUGCAUAACAGGCACACGUGCAAACACACUCAUACUUACAGUUCCCUGGGCACCGUUGAAAGUUACCUUGAGAUGUCAGCAGAGCCGGGGCCCCUGGCAGCAUUGAUUGCUCCUUAAUCUGCAGUCUCAUGUGCCUUCCAGUUACCUCCCUCACUCUGUCUCUCUAGCUGCACUGUCGUGAAGCCAUUCAUCGCUAAUGGCUGCUCAUUUCUCCUCCUUUCUCACAUUCUUUUUUUUUCUCCAG